UACGUAGGGGGCAAGCGUUGUCCGGAAUCAUUGGGCGUAAAGAGCGUGUAGGCGGCCCGAUAAGUCCGCUGUGAAAGUCCAGGGCUCAACCCUGGGAUGCCGGUGGAUACUGUCGGGCUCGAGUCCGGAAGAGGAGUGUGGAAUUCCUGGUGUAGCGGUGAAAUGCGCAGAUAUCGGGAGGAACACCAGUAGCGAAGGCGGCUCGCUGGGCCAUACCUGACGCUGAGACGCGAAAGCGUGGGGAGCAAACAGG
rnacentral:rRNA from 1 species